UGGGGAAUAUUGGACAAUGGGGGGAACCCUGAUCCAGCAAUGCCGCGUGAGUGAUGAAGGCCUUAGGGUUGUAAAGCUCUUUUACCAGGGAUGAUAAUGACAGUACCUGGAGAAUAAGCUCCGGCUAACUCCGUGCCAGCAGCCGCGGUAAUACGGAGGGAGCUAGCGUUGUUCGGAAUUACUGGGCGUAAAGCGCACGUAGGCGGUUACUCAAGUCAGAGGUGAAAGCCCUGGGCUCAACCCCGGAACUGCCUUUGAAACUAGGUAACUAGAAUCCUGGAGAGGUGAGUGGAAUUCCGAGUGUAGAGGUGAAAUUCGUAGAUAUUCGGAAGAACACCAGUGGCGAAGGCGGCUCACUGGACAGGUAUUGACGCUGAGGUGCGAAAGCGUGGGGAGCAAACAGG
rnacentral:rRNA from 2 species